AUUACUUCUUGGACUUUUGGCUAAGAUCAAGUAUGGUAUCUGUUCUUAUCAGUUUAGUGUAAAUACUCUUAAAUAUAAAAGCAUACACUUACAUUCUUAGAAUUUUUUAACAAAAGUUUUUAAUGAUAGCAAUCCAGCGAAGGCAGUGGAACAUGU
rnacentral:snRNA from 1 species